rnacentral:lncRNA from 1 species
CAGCGUUACAGGAAGGCUUCGAGGUGGCUCCCUGUGACCGUGUUGUGAGCAAACCAUUCCUGGCAUCCCACCUUGCAGAACUUGUGGAGAAGAAACAAAAAUAACCCAUAAUCCCACUGUUUUGAUGCCACUUACUGAUAUUUGAAAAGAGGUAAAAAUAAAAUAUGAAGACAGAAAAUCCCAUCAUGUAUCCAAAGGCAUGAAUGAA